rnacentral:rRNA from 1 species
GAUGAACGCUAGCGGCGUGCCUAAUACAUGCAAGUCGAGCGAACAGAUAAGGAGCUUGCUCCUUUGACGUUAGCGGCGGACGGGUGAGUAACACGUGGGUAACCUACCUAUAAGACUGGGAUAACUUCGGGAAGCCGGAGCUAAUACCGGAUAAUAUUUCGAACCGCAUGGUUCGAUAGUGAAAGAUGGUUUUGCUAUCACUUAUAGAUGGACCCGCGCCGUAUUAGCUAGUUGGUAAGGUAACGGCUUACCAAGGCGACGAUACGUAGCCGACCUGAGAGGGUGAUCGGCCACACUGGAACUGAGACACGGUCCAGACUCCUACGGGAGGCAGCAGUAGGGAAUCUUCCGCAAUGGGCGAAAGCCUGACGGAGCAACGCCGCGUGAGUGAUGAAGGUCUUCGGAUCGUAAAACUCUGUUAUUAGGGAAGAACAUACGUGUAAGUAACUGUGCACGUCUUGACGGUACCUAAUCAGAAAGCCACGGCUAACUACGUG